AUUACCUGAAAACUUCAAGAGCAAUGUGUGUGAACUGAAAAUCAAGAAGUCUCUUGGAUUGUUAAGGUCACAGGGCUUCGAUAUGUGCUAAAAGAAAGUAUGAAUAUAUUGCUUCUAAACAUAGGCACCAAAAGAUAAGGAUACGAGGUAAGGUGGCUAUGCUUGCCUAAGGAUUUUCUUCCACUACCAUGAACCGUUUUCUAUAUAUUUCACGCAGGCUAGAUAUCCUAACCAUGGAACUCAAUAUGGAUCAUUACCCAAAAUACCAGACCACGGUCUUUGACAAGGUGCAAGUUGUUGCACAACCAUCACUACAAGAAAAUCACUUAUCAAUCCUCUCAUUUUUACUCUUCUACUACACUGUAGAUACUAAUUCUAGCUAUAAAUAAUUCUUAUUCUCCUUUCACUAUGUCACCACGACACUUUUAUGCCAUCCAUGCUUUUUAUAAAAUUAAUUUGUAAUAAUUGACAAUAUCUCAAUUUUGCAUCUUAAUACAUAAGAAUUAUGCUUCUCAACCCAUAACAAUUAUGCAUCUACACAUGUCAA